AGUGAACGCUGGCGGUAGGCCUAACACAUGCAAGUCGAACGGCAGCACAGUAAGAGCUUGCUCUUACGGGUGGCGAGUGGCGGACGGGUGAGGAAUACAUCGGAAUCUACUUUUUCGUGGGGGAUAACGUAGGGAAACUUACGCUAAUACCGCAUACGACCUACGGGUGAAAGCAGGGGAUCUUCGGACCUUGCGCGAUUGAAUGAGCCGAUGUCGGAUUAGCUAGUUGGCGGGGUAAAGGCCCACCAAGGCGACGAUCCGUAGCUGGUCUGAGAGGAUGAUCAGCCACACUGGAACUGAGACACGGUCCAGACUCCUACGGGAGGCAGCAGUGGGGAAUAUUGGACAAUGGGGGCAAGCCUGAUCCAGCCAUACCGCGGGGGUGAAGAAGGCCUUCGGGUUGUAAAGCCAUUUUGUUGGGAAAGAAAAGCAGCAGGUUAAUACCCCGCUGUUCUGACGGUACCCAAAGAAUAAGCACCGGCUAACUUCGUG
rnacentral:rRNA from 1 species